rnacentral:rRNA from 1 species
GAUGAACGCUGGCGGCGUGCCUAACACAUGCAAGUCGAACGGACGUACGAUAUGCUUGGUUUUCUGAUUUUAGAGGGGGACAGGUGGGUGUAACGUGGAUAACCUACCUAUAAGGCUGGGGUAACUUCGGGGAACCGGAGCUGAUACCGGCUAAUGCUGUGAACCGGAUGGUUCGUGAGUGAAAGACGUUCUUGCUGUGGCUUUUAGGUGGAUUUGUGCUGCAGUAGCUAGUUGGUAAGGUAACGGCGUACCAAGGCAACGAUGCGUAGCCGACCUGAGAGGGUGAUCGGCCACACUGGAACUGAGACACGGUCCAGACUCCUACGGGAGGCAGCAGUAGGGAAUCUUGCGCAAUGGGCGAAAGCCUGACCGAGCAACGCCGCGUGAGUGAUGAAGGUCUUCGGAUCGUAAAACUCUGUUAUUAGGGAAGAACAUGUGUGUAAGUAACUGUGCAGUUCUUGACGGUACCGAAUCAAAAAGCCACGGCUAACUACGUG